GAGGACAAUUAUGAAUCCCUUGUAAGGAA
rnacentral:sRNA from 1 species